rnacentral:rRNA from 1 species
UACGUAUGGUGCAAGCGUUAUCCGGAUUUACUGGGUGUAAAGGGAGCGCAGGCGGCGCGUUAAGCCUGGUGUGAAAGCCCGCGGCCCAACCGCGGGACUGCAUUGGGAACUGGCGCGCUGGAGUGCCGGAGGGGUAGGCGGAAUUCCUAGUGUAGCGGUGAAAUGCGUAGAUAUUAGGAGGAACACCAGUGGCGAGGGCGGCCUACUGGACGGUGACUGACGCUGAGGCUCGAAAGCGUGGGGAGCAAACAGG